UAAAAACAAUAACAAAGCCAUGAUACUAUGACGUAUUCUGUCGCUAUACAGAUAUGUAAAACAUGCCGUCAAUACCGGCAAAUGCGACAUAAAUAUUGUAUAAAAUUCAUUCAACUUACUCUCGAUACUUAAAUUGUAAAGGGAAACUUCUAAAAUGUCCACAUCGCUGCUUUCCGAGUCGUUUUCUUGCCUUAUUUCAGCCAUACCCGAGAACCGCAGAAUCGACCCGAGAAACGCGCAUUAUAUGGCAGAGUCUUGAUUACAUUUUGUCAACCAUCGAUCUCACCCCCCCGUCGCGCACCACUAAAUAUCCUUUACUAUCCCUACAAAUCCUAAAUAAUUCAGACUCUGCGGAGGAGAGUGG